rnacentral:rRNA from 1 species
ACGAACGCUGGCGGCGUGCCUAAUACCUGCAAGUUGAGCGAUGAAGAUUGGUGCUUGCCCCAAUUUGAAGAGCAGCGAACGGGUGAGUAACGCGUGGGGAAUCUGCCUUUGAGCGGGGGACAACAUUUGGAAACGAAUGCUAAUACCGCAUAAUAACUUUAAACAUAAGUUUUAAGUUUGAAAGAUGCAAUUGCAUCACUCAAAGAUGAUCCCGCGUUGUAUUAGCUAGUUGGUGAGGUAAAGGCUCACCAAGGCGAUGAUACAUAGCCGACCUGAGAGGGUGAUCGGCCACAUUGGGACUGAGACACGGCCCAAACUCCUACGGGAGGCAGCAGUAGGGAAUCUUCGGCAAUGGACGAAAGUCUGACCGAGCAACGCCGCGUGAGUGAAGAAGGUUUUCGGAUCGUAAAACUCUGUUGGUAGAGAAGAACGUUGGUGAGAGUGGAAAGCUCAUCAAGUGACGGUAACUACCCAGAAAGGGACGGCUAACUACGUG